AUUGAACGCUGGCGGCAUGCCUUACACAUGCAAGUCGAACGGCAGCGCGGGGGCAACCCUGGCGGCGAGUGGCGAACGGGUGAGUAAUAUAUCGGAACGUACCCAAGAGUGGGGGAUAACGUAGCGAAAGUUACGCUAAUACCGCAUACGAUCUAAGGAUGAAAGCAGGGGACCGCAAGGCCUUGUGCUCCUGGAGCGGCCGAUAUCUGAUUAGCUAGUUGGUGGGGUAAAGGCCUACCAAGGCAUCGAUCAGUAGCUGGUCUGAGAGGACGACCAGCCACACUGGGACUGAGACACGGCCCAGACUCCUACGGGAGGCAGCAGUGGGGAAUUUUGGACAAUGGGGGGCAACCCUGAUCCAGCAAUGCCGCGUGAGUGAAGAAGGCCU
rnacentral:rRNA from 1 species